UUUUUUUUUUUUUUUUUGAUUAAGUGGCUUCCGGAAGCGGGCCAGACCCGUGAUAAGGUUUGUUUCUUCAACGCUACGUGCCCGGGGAGAGGAGAGGAGGAAGGCUGGGAGGGGGCACAGAAAGAAAGCGGGAAUAAGAGAGAGGAGAGGAGAGAAGAGAAGAGAAGAGAAGAGAGAGAUCCUUUCUCAAAAUGGACAUCAACAGCUCUGCCAGCGCAAAAAACACUCGCAGUGACCUGGGAACCCGAACUAAACAAAGGAUUCCUGGGAGCUCCAUGGAAUUCUACUUCUCAGAAUGCUGUGACCGGAAUGCCGCCACGGAAUCAGACUUCAGCGAGUUCAGCAAUCCCGACAGUCAGCCCAUCGACCUUUCCACGAAGAAAAGGAGCCCAAAACUGGGGAGGCCCCGCUCCCCUCUGUGCAGCACUGCACACCCCUCUGCACCCCAGGCAGCCCCAACAAGGGGCCCCCUGUGCCUCAGACUGACUCUGGAAAAGCGUGAAGGCAUCAGCACGGCGCCUCCUGCUGUGCAGGAGGAGGUACUGCAGGCUCGGAGCAAGAGAAUCGACUCCCUGAUUUUAAACAACUCAUCUGUUAGCUGCGCAAAUAGCAGCAACGGCUUAAGAAUCGUGAAACUUUACAAAGCUGAGAGGAAAGAUGUAGGAGUGGAAAGGGAUAACCAGAGCCUGUGUAUUGCACGCUGGCUCAAAACUGAAGACCAGGAGGUUGAAAUCUCGGAGGGUCUGGGUGGUAAAGGUGGGGUGGCGGGUUGCAUUAAGAACGAGAGGGAGGAGGAGGGAGGAGGAGAGGGGCAGGCUGGGAGGAACCCCUCCUCUGACUCGGACGCUUCCUGUGAAUCAGGAGUGAGGGGUCCGGGAGGGGGCGGGGGUCUGCUCCUGAUUGAUGACAAAGGCAUCCCGUACACAGUCACGCUGGCGGGAGAGCGCGUCUCUGAUUCUGAAGUGCCAGACCACUCCUCGAAUUCCACGAAACUAACUAAGCACGCUGCCAGAACGCCGCUGAUCCGUGGGAAAUCCACCGUCAAGCGGGACGGCUCGGGAAUCCCAACGGACGGCGGCACCAGCAGAGCCCCCAAACUCCCCAAGACCCUGAUAACCGAACCUUCGACCCCACCGGUGAAACAGGAACCGGCUCCCAUCUCUCAGACAGCGACGGGCAGGACCCUGAGCCCAGAGCCUCAGAUCCCCCCCAGACGCGUGCUCUACUGCGAGGUCUGCUUCCGAGCCUUCUUCUAUCUGUCCGACCUGGAGCGGCACAGCAUCACACACUCGGAGAGCAAGCCCCACGCCUGCGCGCAGUGCGGGAAGCGCUUCAAACGGUCGAGCCACCUGGAGCGGCACAAACACAUCCACACGGGCCAGCGCAACUUCGCCUGCGCGCUCUGCGGGAAGCGGUUCCGCGAGGCGGGGGAGCUGCUGCGGCACCAGCGGGUCCACACCGGAGAGAAGCCGUACCAGUGCGAGGGCUGCAGGAUGAGAUUCGCAGAGCGCAACACACUGCGCAGGCACACCAAGCGCAAGCACGCCCGCGAGGGGCUGUACACGCAGGGGGCCGGGGCAGCGGACAAUAAGGACUGGUACUCCAGCUCUGGGCUGGGGGAGGAAGGGGGUGAAGAGGGGGAGAUGGGCUCUUGAGAGAGCAAGGAGUUGGCUUUUAAAGUUUUAAAAUGUUUCUCUCUGUUGAUUUGACGACAGCAUGCCCCCUUCGUUGAUGGAUUUGUAAUAAGUUGUAGCGCUGACCCUGUCUCUUAUAUCGAUUAAUAUGUCCAGUCGAUCGUGUGUCUUCUAUCAGUUAGUGUGUCCAGUUGACCCAAGCACACACCCUGGCCUGGCCUCUGUGUUAGGACCUGCCUGCCUGGCUCCCGGAUUGGGUUUGGAUGUUCUGGUUCUGCUGUACCCCGGCUCCCUCGAUUAUUCUGCUGGGCUGAACGAACACUAAGCAUCGCUGCAGACCCCCAACAACGCCGAACCCCAACUUUCAAGACGAUAACGCCCCUGUCCGCCGUGCCGGGAUUAACGGUUUGAGGAGCGUGACAGAGAGACUUCGGGUAUCUUCCACAGCCACCGCACUGAUCUGACCCGACCAUCUGAAGGACUCGUCAUCACGACCCCCUGCCUGCCUCUCUGCGCUCAGUAUUAAUGAGGGAGUGGAUCAACAGAGACCCCUUCCAACACCUUGUGGAGUCGAGGCCCCGUCCAGAUCAAACGGUGACCCGAUAGCAGGGAUGGGUCCUAACAAAGUGGCCAGGCUGUUUGUUAUACAAAUACGAAAGAGUGAAAGAACAAAAGACUCACUGGAGUGCUGAUACCAAACUCUAAAGAUGGACAAAUAUAGAAAAUUAAUAAAAUGGUGCCACUGUCAUGUUUUAAAAAUGAUAUCCUGUAACAAAUCAUGACUACAUUAAAACGAACUCGGAUGCAAUUGUACUUGAGUAGAUAUGAAUUUUAAAAGUGUGCUGUUCAGAAAAUCCAUCAUUUAAAACACUACACUGCUAACCAAGGUUUAUAAAUCCAUUCUCUCACCUCUUAUUAGCUUU